CAGUCAAGUCAACAUAAAAUAACAUAGUUAUGACAUUGGAGAAAACAGUACAGAUUUUAUCAUAGAGUAAUGCUCAGGAAGGCAAACCAUGUCAUAGCAGUAGUCUGAGCAGGAAAUAGUGUGAGGCAAAUAGACAUGAUAGUGACAAUAGUAGGAAACCACUGGGUCCCGAAUUACAUAUGCUGUGCUGUGUCAGAGAUAGCUUAUAGCAUUGCAAGACGAAUAACUAUAUACAUUAGAUACAGCACGAAUAUGUUAGAUAAAG